AUUGUUUUGUAUAUUUUCGUUCGCGUGAUCUUAGUUUGCUAUGUAACAGUUUGAAGAGUAUGUUGAGUUGUGUUUUUAAGUGAUCGAUCCUAAAUGCUAAUUUUAAUUUUCCUUAUGAACAAAGCUAGCUGUUUAAUAUUGUUUAUGUUAUUUUCAGUUAAAAUAAGUAUCAAAUCAAGUUUCUUCGAAGUAUUUGUGCCGUGUCAAAUAAAUGUUAUGUGAAGAAAAAAAAAGUUUUUUCGAGAGUACUGGGUACAUUGCAUGAAUUACAGUUUUCGUUAGGGACCAAUCCCCAUUUAUAUAGUCUAUCCUUUGUGGCUAAGUGGCAUGAGCGUAGUCUGGAUAAUGUUAUCGUGAGAUCGUUCGGCAAACAUAUGUUUUGGAACCAUGGCUCCAGUUUGAUCGUUGGCAUAAUUUUGUAGUGGCUAAGGGUCAAGUCGUCUUUGGAGAGUCGUCGAUUUCAGUUCUUGUUGUUCAAAGCUUAGCUGCAUGAUCAGCUCUGUCGUUUCCCGUUAGAUGAAUAUGUCCAGGAAUCCAUUGAAUGUUUUGCAGCACUUUGACUAUCGGUAAAUACAUCAGCUUUGGAAAUGCUCUUGAUUAUUAAGUACUCAAUAGCUUUGAUGAUAGCGGCUAUCUCCGCGUUCAUAAUUGUGAAUUGUGAUUUAAGUCUCCCACUUUGCGACAAUUUCUCUGCUUCAUCGUAUAUACCAUAACCUGUUCGUCCGUCAAUUUUUGAGCCGUCAGUGAAAGUUUUAUAAUAAUCAGCGUAAGAUGUUUGUAUUAAGCCAAGAACUGUUUGUUUCUGUACUGUUGUGGAGUAGUUUUUCUUUUCAAAUGAUUCUAUUUCUGGAUGUAUAAUAAUUUUUUCUGAGUUUUCAUAAGGAACUGCACGUGCAAGCUGUAAUAAAUGGUAAUUGUUCAAACUAGCUAUCUUUUCAAGGUAAGUAUGGUGCUUUGGUAAAUCGUCUUCUUGAAUAAAUUUAUAUAGGUAAUGAAUAAUUGGGCUAUUUUGGUAGUAAAGGGCUUUACAGAUUUUCCUUGAUUGCUAAGUACUCAGCUCUUUCCCUCAAUGGUAACUGGUAAUGGUUUCUGAUAGAAUUACAUGAUUUGGAGUUGAUUUAAGGUAUCUCAUUGAUACUCUAAUUGCGAGGUUUUGUACUGUUUGCAGUUUGGUGAAGUUGGUUGUCGGGGCUGCUGCUGUAAUUGUCAGUCCGUAGUCAAUUUGUGGUUGUACUAUUGCUUUAGAUAUAUUGAGUGUGGUACGAGGGUGGGCUCCAUUUUUCCGUUUAGUUAUCAUUUUAAUUAUGUUGAUUUUCUUUUUAAUUUUCGCUACUGUCGUUUCGAUAUGUUUAUUGUAGUUGAGUCUAUAAUCAAUGUAUAUCCCUAAGAAUUUUUGUACUGGUUUUGCUUCUAUUUAAUGAUUGUUGAUUUUUAUUAUCUAUCGGAUGAAAUUUGUGUGUCAUGACCAUAGUGGCGCAUUUAUCUGUGUUUAUCGUCAUUCCUAUACUAUUUAAGUGGUUGGUUAUUUCUGCUAAGAAAUUGUUCGUAUUCUUUACUGCUAAUGAUAAAUUCUUUGCCUUAACCAUUACUGUGAAGUCAUCAGCGAAUUGGAACAAUAUUCUGUUUGGGCCGGAUAGGGUAUGGACUUUCAUAGUGUACAGGUUGAAUAAAAUUUUAAAUUGAUAAUGGACAGCCUUGUGGAAGACCUUUGUUAGUUACUCGUCUGAUUUCCGUGUUAUUGUUUAGUUUUAGUAUUAUGUUCCUUUUCUGUAAAUAGUUGAAUAUCCAGUUUAUGAGUUCUGGUGGGAUAUUAGUCUCAUCUAAGGUAUCAAGUAGUUUUUUGAUAUCUACGUUGUCGAAUGCUUUCGAUAAAUCUAAGAAGGUUGUUAUAACAACUUCGUUUUCUCUUUUUGCAUUGUACACGUGGGUCAGAAAUGUGUUAACGCAGUUAAUUGCAGAGGUUCUUUUUCUAAAGCCAAACGAGUAAGCUGGUAACAUAUUGUCUGUUUCUAUAUGUUCAGUUAGCCUACGCUUUAUAAUAAAAUUAAUAAGUUUUAUAAUAACGCUAAUCAUGGCUAAUGGUCUGUAUGAUAACGGUUCAUUAGGGUUUUUGGAUGGUUUAAGUAUUGGAACGAUUUUAAUGUCGCGCCAAUCAUCUGGAAUUAUACCAGAGUUAACUACGGCAUUAAGUAUGGUUACUGUUUUGAUAAUAAGUUCUGGCUUACAUCGUUUAAGAAAAUCUGUACCAUUUAUAAAUUAAUUAAUAGAUCGCAAAUAGACAGUCUCACCAUUCAAUGGAUUCCUGGACAUAUUCAUCUAACGGGAAACGACAGAGCUGAUCAUGCAGCUAAGCUUUGAACAACAAGAACUGAAAUCGACGACUUUCCAAAGACGACUUGACCCUUAGCCUGAAACAUGAAAUAAUUUGCUUAUGGAAUGCAAAAUACAAAGAAAUUUCAAAUGACAAAGGAA